AACGUAGGACGCAAGCGUUAUCCGGAGUUACUGGGCGUAAAGCGCGGGCAGGCGGUCGGUCAAGUCUGAUGUGAAAUCUCUCCGCUCAACGGGGAGCAGCCAUUGGAAACUGGGCGACUGGAGUCUGACAGAGGUAGGCGGAAUUCCGGGUGGAGUGGUGAAAUGCGUAGAGAUCCGGAGGAACACCAGAGGCGAAGGCGGCCUGCUGGGUCAGUACUGACGCUGAGCCGCGAAGGCGUGGGGAGCGAACGGG
rnacentral:rRNA from 1 species